rnacentral:rRNA from 1 species
GACGAACGCUGGCGGCGUGCUUAACACAUGCAAGUCGAACGGUAAGGCCCUUCGGGGUACACGAGUGGCGAACGGGUGAGUAACACGUGGGUGAUCUGCCCUGCACUUCGGGAUAAGCCUGGGAAACUGGGUCUAAUACCGGAUAGGACCACUGCCUGCAUGGGUGGUGGUGGAAAGCUUUUGCGGUGUGGGAUGGGCCCGCGGCCUAUCAGCUUGUUGGUGGGGUGACGGCCUACCAAGGCGACGACGGGUAGCCGGCCUGAGAGGGUGACCGGCCACACUGGGACUGAGAUACGGCCCAGACUCCUACGGGAGGCAGCAGUGGGGAAUAUUGCACAAUGGGCGCAAGCCUGAUGCAGCGACGCCGCGUGAGGGAUGACGGCCUUCGGGUUGUAAACCUCCUUCAGCACCGACGAAGCGCAAGUGACGGUAGGUGCAGAAGAAGGACCGGCCAACUACGUGCCAGCCGCCGCAGUAA